rnacentral:lncRNA from 1 species
ACAAAAUCAUGCUCAAAACCCCAAAUCAUUCUCAAUUAAUUCUCCAAAAACACAACAAAAAAUUCAAUUUCCCAGAAUCAAAACUCAGAAUCAUUUAAUCCGAAGCAACCCGGCAAAAAACAGAAUCAAUACUUAAUCAAAUCGAGUUUUGAAACAUUGCCUUCGCAUGCGCAUCAUCCUCGACGGCACCGGCAGAAGCUUUCGAGUUGAAGUGAAGAGGCAUGCGGGAAUGGUAAGCAAUAACCGCGAAAGGGGAGCAAACCUUUUCGAUGGGGAGAGUGAAACAUGCUGUCAUGACCGCCACGAGGAGGAGAACGAUGAUCUUGAUGAACUCUAGGAGGAUUACAGACUACAGAGUAAUAAAAAAAGACUAGUUGAGAAGAUCACCAUUGGAGAUGCUACCGGAUACAUUACAGGAUUAGUUUAAUACAUUGUUUUUAACACGGAGAAGAAGCU